UUGAACGCUGGCGGCAGGCCUAACACAUGCAAGUCGAGCGGAUGAAGGGAGCUUGCUCCUGGAUUCAGCGGCGGACGGGUGAGUAAUGCCUAGGAAUCUGCCUGGUAGUGGGGGAUAACGUCCGGAAACGGGCGCUAAUACCGCAUACGUCCUGAGGGAGAAAGUGGGGGAUCUUCGGACCUCACGCUAUCAGAUGAGCCUAGGUCGGAUUAGCUAGUUGGUGGGGUAAAGGCCUACCAAGGCGACGAUCCGUAACUGGUCUGAGAGGAUGAUCAGUCACACUGGAACUGAGACACGGUCCAGACUCCUACGGGAGGCAGCAGUGGGGAAUAUUGGACAAAGGGCGAAAGCCUGAUCCAGCCAUGCCGCGUGUGUGAAGAAGGUCUUCGGAUUGUAAAGCACUUUAAGUUGGGAGGAAGGGCAGUAAGUUAAUACCUUGCUGUUUUGACGUUACCAACAGAAUAAGCACCGGCUAACUCCGUG
rnacentral:rRNA from 1 species